rnacentral:rRNA from 1 species
GACGAACGCUGGCGGCGUGCUUAACACAUGCAAGUCGAACGGAAAGGCCCUGCUUGCAGGGUACUCGAGUGGCGAACGGGUGAGUAACACGUGGGUGAUCUGCCCUGCACUUCGGGAUAAGCCUGGGAAACUGGGUCUAAUACCGGAUAGGAGCCAUUUUUAGGGUGAUGGUUGGAAAGUUUUUUCGGUGUAGGAUGAGCUCGCGGCCUAUCAGCUUGUUGGUGGGGUAAUGGCCUACCAAGGCGGCGACGGGUAGCCGGCCUGAGAGGGUGGACGGCCACAUUGGGACUGAGAUACGGCCCAGACUCCUACGGGAGGCAGCAGUGGGGAAUAUUGCACAAUGGGCGCAAGCCUGAUGCAGCGACGCCGCGUGGGGGAUGACGGCCUUCGGGUUGUAAACUCCUUUCGCUAGGGACGAAGCUUUUGUGACGGUACCUAGAUAAGAAGCACCGGCUAACUACGUG